GGGGCGUCAGGCAGCUGCGGCCGGAAGACAGCCGCAGCUGCCUGGAUGCGCGGGGGCCCACGUGCGACGCCUCUCCACAGCCCGACACCGAGCUGACGCUGCUCACCAGGGCCUCCACCGGCGGCUUCUAAAGAUGGCGUGGGAGUCCUCCUUCGACGCAGCUGCAUCACGUGCUUCACCUGUUCACCGGCUGGAGUGAAGUGUCCACAACGACGCUUAAAGAAGACAAUUACGAGGACCUGCGCAGUCUCUCCAAUCGCCGACACCAGUGCGGGUGGAGAAUUACACUUUUAUUGGCACGCGGUUUGUUUUAGCGCUGCAGCCUUCCAGCUUCUUGGUCCGUUCCCGCAACACUGUAGUGUGCCAUUUGCCGCCUCGAGUAGCCAUUUCGAGGAGACUUGAUGGCAAAUUGUUCGGCUGCUCCACGCUUGAGCGCGGACCUUUUGAUUGUUUCUGCUUUAUGGGUGCUACAAAGGUUGUAAAAUUUAGUGCUCACUGGAACGCAGCACUUGCAGCUUUACCACGGUAAUUUCGAAUACUUUUGCGGAAGCGUCAUCAGGCGUUUACUGAGGUGCGAAACGCAACCGAGUGCGAAACUCUGCUGGUUACGGCCCGCUGCGCUCGUCAAAUAUUCGCUCGAUUACAGAGGGCGCAGAAGGGGCCACAGCUCCUUUAUUCUCGUCUACAUUUCGCUCUUUGGCCCGUCACGGAUUCUCACUUUUGGUAGACUCCGAACCAUUGGCAGCAGUGGACUUCAAAGACAUUCCUCGCCACAUACCUGCUCAGUCACAGGGAGUCGAGCACGUUUUCUACUGUGCAGAAUUCCUUACGAAUUGAACAGUAAAUUUUGCUUCCAGCCCACUUAGCUACAUUUUCUCAUUGUACAUGUUUGUCUGUCGCGAAACUACUGACAAGGCGUAAUGGUGUUUCUUGAUGUCUUAGGUGUAUCCCAAUUUUCUCUGCAGUGAUUUCCUAUGAUUCACUUCCGAGUGUGUAAAGUGGUACCACGUGUGAGGCCCCACCUCACUGUCAUGAAGUGUCAUCUGCUCGACGUCAUUGUUCUCCGGGCAGCCACGCACCGGCCGGAACAGAGCCCUCAGACAUUUUUCCGACUCGUCUGCUUUCGGCUGCCCGUAACGUACUUUUUUUUCCUAUCUCGAUGUGAAUGUAACCAGUGUUCCAAAAUAUUUGUAUUGACCAACUUACUCUGCCAAAGCCUGUAAUAUU